GGUGCACGAGCUUGGUAUUCCUAUUGACAGAAAGGGGCUGUAGGUCUCUUUUGUAGAUGGGAAAGAUUAGGGGUGUGUUAGAAGAAGGGGUGGAGAAAAAGAGUAUGAACUGCAGUGUAGUUUCUGGGCUUGCCUGUUGCAUCAGCCUGUUGCUGAUGCCACUGGUUACUUUGCAGGUUUUCUCCUCAUGCAGUUGUUUCAAAAGUAAAAGUAGCAGUCGAAAUCUGCACAAGGCAGCACUGCUCUCUGCUGCCCCAUCCCCUGCAAUGACAGAAGCAGUUCUGUACAUUUGGUGAACCCGGAGAAUGGAUUGUGUUUAAAGUCAUGUUUUUGUUUGCUUGUUUGGGGCCUUGGUUUGUUGUUCUGGUUUUGUUUUGUUCCCUCGGGAUGGCUCUGGCUGACUAAUUUUACAGCCUGUUGUUUUUCAAAUGCAGAUGUCACCACUGGAGAGAGAAUGGGGCAAGGACAAGUUCAGCGGUCACCAGAUAAGGAGGACCACUCUUUUUCCAUCAGCUUGAAGAGAUUUGGCAGAGCUUUAAGUAACACCAUAAUUUUCCUAAAGCUUGUUCAACCUGCCUGCUAACGUGUGUGUUCUCCACAAAAGUUUCUCCCUUUUAGACACGUUUGCAGCACUUCUCAGUCCACUUUGUUCUUUCACCUUACGGCUCGAAGCCCUUGUUUCAGGGCACGCUUGUUUCUUCUACUGUAUUUUUACUGCCCCUUGAGUGACAUCAUUCAAGUGGUGAGUCUCUGAGAGAUGAUUCAUACUGAAAAAGAUCUAAUAAUUGUUACCAGUUAUUCAAAUCAGUGUUACUGAUUUCCCGCAUCCUCCCACUGGUCCCUUGAGCUCCCCCACCCACUCGUUUUUCCUAAUAAUUCCCAGGCUUUCUGGCUGUAUGCUCAGUGUGCCCUCCUCAGUGUUACUGUGCUAAGGUGUAAGUAUCUCGCCCUCCCCUGAGGAGCUCUUAGGGCUUGGCUGCAGCAGCUUGUGUAGGCAGAUACGGGCUGAGCUGAACUGGCAGGGUAGAGGUGGAUUGACAAGCGCUGGCCUCAGUAAAGCUUCCAACUGCUUUCACAGCACAUCUUCUGUUUCACUGCUGUGUCGGCAUUGUUGGCAGCCUCUGAGGUUCAAAGCUGGAUGAGUAAUGUGUCUGCAGGCUGUGGUGCUGGGGUGCACAGAACUCUGAGCUAGAUUCUCCUGAGAAGUUCUGCAAGGUAUUGGGGUAAUUACCUGCUCUGAGCUAGCAAAGACUUGCACCAGUAGUGACCCUAUCACGCUGCUGCUGUUUCAGUUUGUAGUGAAGGAUGUUUCUUCUGUUUCACAAAUACGGAUGUAUAACUCGUGAAGCUUGUUUCUCCUGCACCUUGAAUUGAACUCUAUGCUGUGCAGUGAUUCACAUCAUCAGUGUAAAAAGCAAAUUCUUGUUGGGAGCAGCCAUAUAUUGUUCUUCAUCCAGCUCCUCAGUCUGGCCCCAUAUUCCCAUUACACCCUUCCUUCAUAUCCCUGCAUCCUUGUCUUUGAUCUUCCCUGCUUAAGUCCCUUCUGUGUGCAUUUUGUCAUUUCUCUUGUGCAUUCACCUUCUUAGUCAUUCUUUUUGUUGGCAGGGGCACACUUGAUUUUCCUUAGAGUUAUAUGGAUCUUGAGUAUCAGAGGUGGAAGGGGGCAAAUCUGGAUCAGUUCUGGAUGCCCAGCACAAACACGCUGAUGUUCAUGUCUCUGCACGCUGUAAACCCAGCCCCAAAACAAGUCUGUGGCUCUUGUGGAGAGAACUGCUUUACGUGGCAGCAUCCUUUUGUGUUGCAUUGGAUUCAGCGUUGUGUUCAGGGCUGAAAUGCCCUGUGUGCCGUGCAUUGGCCCAGCAGGAUGAACUCACACAAAGAGAGUGUCAGAGCUGCCCUUUCUGGAAAAGUAAGUGAUAGGAAUUUAUGGCUGUUGCAUCUGCAGUAAAGCUGGCACCACAGCCCUACUUCGUCAGCAGUAGGACAGCGGAGGGGGAAAAAAGCAUGGUGUAACCUUUGGUAUGUUAUUUAUUAUCAGUUUGCAGCCCUCUGGAAAAUGAACUUUAGAAAAUUCUGUGCCGAUGGUAACGAUGAACACUGGGAAAACCCAGGAAUCAGCAAAUCCAUUGUGUUGCGCUGACAGAAAGAUACUGUUACAACACACUUUAGCUGCCAACUUGCUGCAGUCACUCAAUCCAUCAUGGUGGGCUGUUGGAUCACAAGGCAGUGAAACUCAGCCUGGCGUGUUAUUUUAGUCUUACAUGGACUGUGAGAUAAACGGGGCAUGAACCAGCCCCCUGGCAGGGGGUCGACCCCUAGCGCCCUCAUUAAAGUGCCAAUCAAAAAGAGUAAUGGAACAGGGAAUGGAAAGCUGGCUUCUUCAGCCUGUUACUGCGCACAGUCUGAGCAACUUGCACAAGCCAAGGGAAACAUUUCUCUUCUGAAGAGGAGCCAGGCUUCCAGAAAUACCUCCUCUCUCCUUUUCUCUUUGUGUGCAAUGCUGGGACCCUCCUGUGCGUCCCGCCUGUGGUGGCAGCCUGUGGUGGCAGCCUGUUGCUUACUACAGCGCAAGCAGUGGGAAGAAGUGUGGCCGAAUGUAACCCGGAAAGGAUGUAGAUGCUUCUUCUGUGGAAUACAGCAGUCAGUGAUUGGUUACAGCAUGGCUUCUCUUGCACAUUGCUUGGAUUUCAGCAUUUGCGUAUGAAAGAUGGGCAGAAAAGGGUGCUAUGAAGCUGCAAUCAGACUGUGCUGUGGUAAAGAAGAGAAAGCAGCAGCUGUGUUCUGACGUUGGCCUUGUACUUCACUAUGGGAUCUUAGUCAAGGCCUCCUUUCAUGAGUAACUGAGCUGUGUUACAGCCGUGCGAACCCAGGGGCAGUGUGAGGACCCAGCCUUGUGUGCACAUCUGGUGCUGCUUUACUCACGUUCUCCCACUCAGAAAGUCUGAUGGUAAAGACCUUAGGAAAGGAGUACAUCUCAGUGCUAGAGAAAGCAGCCUGGAUUCUGUUAAUGAAACAUUUUCUCUGCGAGGUAACUGCAGUGUUAGCAAGGAGGUAGAUUUGAACUGCCCUGAUUCCUUGUUAAGGCUACCAGAGUAUUGGGCCAACUACCAGCAGGCUGGAAUAGAUCUGAACCAAUAAUAUUCAUGGGGAAUUGGUGAUGUUUUCAUCCUAGCCCCAUAUUUGAUAAAACAGCAGCAUCAUGUGUACUGACAAAGCAGUUACCACCAAGCAUGGAUUGGAGUGCAAAGCUCUGCUCCCAGUCUGUUUUUUCAGACAAGACGACUCGGUGAUCCUUGUUUAUAGCAACUAUACUUUUAAGAAUGGAAGUGUGGGGAGUAAGGCCAUCACUUUGCAAGGUAAGUUUGAGAAAUAGAUAUAUUACAUAAAUAUACACACACAAAUAUGUAUAUGGUGUCAUUCUUUGUAAGAAACAAUGUUAUUUAAGCAGUAUUUGAUUAACUGUGGCAUUAAUAAAAAUGCCCUUUCUUUUGUUUUUAUCUCUUUGCAACUGCCAGUAAUGUGCAGUGUAUGCCCAGACCCUGCUUUUCAGAGCCAGGUACCUGAAUUAGCUGUGAUUAGAAAAUACAGGAAUGUUCUCUAAGGAAGAGAAGCAGAGCAAGCAAGGUUUUCCCUCAGGGUGUCAUCAUCUGGUGCUUCAUGCCCUGUACAAAUCAGGUCAGUGCGCAGUUGUUACAGCGAAGACAAAAGGAUUUAUGAUUUUUUUUUUUUUUCUAGACACAUUUUUAUGGAGUUGAUCCAAGAUCCUGGGGACCAAGUCUUCAGUUGGAGAGAGAAUAGCUGAGUGGUGGAAAACACCAUCUCUGGGAAAUGGGAGAGCAUACCUUGAACUCCUUGUCGUGAUUACUGUGAUUACUUUUCUGUUGUGAGAUGUGGAACUUCCAGCCACUUACUUUCUCUCCACAAAAACAUAAGCACUGCACUUUUUGAUUAAACAGCAUUCACAGCUUAAGCUGUUCAGCUAUCAUCGAGUUGAUUUAUUGGAAAAGAAUUCAAGAGCAGAAAGAAGGAUAUUGUCCACAUCUUGCAUGUUGUUUAGCUUAUUUCAGGCAUAUCUCAUUGUGUAUUUCCUGGUUUAUUGCCUGUAAUUUAUUUAAAGAUGGCUAAGUUGGAGUAGGUAACAGAAUUGUUUAUGGUCCAGUAGUGACUGUUGUGAAAACUGUUUCAGCCUGAUGUUACCCUGGUACGUGCAGACCCUCACUCCUACUUGGAAUUGAGUGCCUAAGGGUUGUUAAAGUCUUUCUUCUAAUCUGUCCCCUGCCUUUCUCUUCCAGAGGCAGCAAGGGAGACAGAUACUUGAUCUGUUCCCCUCACCUGUGAUGUGCUGCAGCCUGCUACCUGGCAAGGAAUGUCUACAGGAAUAAAACUUACAGAAUUAUGUUAUGUUAUGGGUAGGGUAUGUGAUGCUACUUUUUUCUUUUCUUUUUUUUCCCUCCACUUUUAGCAUUCAUGGUAUGCAUCUGUUUUCUGUAUGUUUAUGCUGCUGCAGACCCAGGCUGUUUACCAGAUUUCUCCUGUUAGCAAUACUGCUUCCUCAGGAAAAAAAGAAGUCUUAGUGGCCUUGUCACUGCUCCUGUUAGUAACACAUCAGUGAUUCAGAGUAGCAAUUCUCUGUGGUUCGAUUGCUUUGUCAGGUCUGAGGCAGUGAAACAGACCUUUGCAGCCACAGCUUUUGAUACAGAUUGGGACAGAGAGGAGCUCUGUAAUUCUGUGUGUCCAGAAUUGCUUCUAGAAAAAAAAAAAUGAGGUGGUCAGCUGUGGUCUUUGACAUAUUUGAAACAUGAAAAGUUUGGUCACAAGCCUGGUUUAUUUUAGUGAUGGUGGACCACAUAGUUCUGCAGAAAUGUUAGAAACAUGAGGGUGCCUUUUUCACACAUCACAUUAGCUCAAUCACUAAUUAGCUUAAUAGCUAAUGUGCCAUUCUUUGUGGUGUGCUGUUUGGACUGACUUAACUCCCUAUAGCUGAGGUGAUGUACUGCGAGGCACUGCUGUAGCACAGAAGCUGUGUUAUUCUCUCUCAUCAGCAAUUUUUUCUCCCACAGCUUCUGAAAUUUCCAGACAAUCUACUUUCAUGGCUGCAAUUCCUAUCUCCUCAAAUAAAGCCAGGCUGAAUGACAUUUAACUGCCUUCAUAAAGCUCAGAACUUUACGUGAUUUGAUAAGUGGAAUUAUUACAUUGCCUUGUCUCAGUUUGUGUAUAGUUUUUGUGAAAGCUAAAGGCUCGUACUUCCUCUGCACCUCCUCCUCUACAAACUAUUUCUGAGUGUGGCCCUUGGAAUCUGAAAGUUGUACUUAUUCACUUAGUAAUAAUGGUAAUAGUGCCAAUAACAAUAGGAAGUCCACAGGAGUUCUGAGAUGAUCCAAAAAUAGUUGGGCUACAGCAACAAGGAACAUCAUUUGAGCUUAAAAAAAACCAAAAAGCAAUCAACAACAAAAAACAACAAAGUUCUAGUUCAGUUUGUUCUGGAAUGUUACAAGAGGCAAUGUGCUUCCUGCAAGUGUAACUAACAGUAUUCCUAGUAAUCAGUGCUGUGUCUGUAAGAGAAAACCUGUUUGAGAGAACUCUGUAUGAAUGAAAAAGAAGUCAGUGGGCUGACUGUAGCUGAGAGGAGCAAAGUGUCAGUGUGUAUGGUAACAUGACUUGAGUAGCCUAAGCCAGCUGCAGUCCACGGCCCUCUUGUACAUCUGAGACAGUGGGUAAAUUUCUUGAAGCCUUAAGUAAUUGUUAUCACGAGCCAAAAAAAACCCCAACAGGUUGAGCACCUUCCAAAGGAAAACACAAAUCAAAUCCAUUGUAGCCUGUAGUUCUCUGAGUUCAGGUCACUGAGUUGAGGUGCACUGCCAUACUUCUCAGGUGUUUGCACUCCCAUUCCUUACAUAGAUGCUGCACAACAAACUAUGCAAGCCAUUCUGCUGGGAGCUGGCUUUUAUUCACCCUACCCUCCUUCUUACCUGCUUUAGCAACCAGGCUUUGCAGCAUUGGAAGAAAACAGUUUUGCAGGGGAGAGGAGCAGGGACUAGCAAGAAUCCAAUAGGACUGACUGGUUAAAGCACUGCAGAGCCAAUGCACUUGUUGAAUUCUACAUUUUACUUAAAAAUUAUACAGAGAAACAUACAAAAGUGGUGCAUUAAAUCAGUUUCAUUUGCAUAACGGGCCUUUUGUAUUUCUAGUGACAGACCAUCCACACAUCCACUGAUACGACAUCUGUCCUCACACAGCAGUCCUCUGCCUUUCACAUUACAGGAGUUAAAAACAGUUUUACUUGUAACUUUCUUCAGGCUAUUCCCUCUUGGAUAGACAGACAGACUCAUUACUCCCUCUGGAAAAGGUUCCAGGGGACUACCUGGUUCCUGGGAAUACAGGUAGUUGAUGAGACAAACACUCGUGGGACAUGCAGCAUUUGAAAAAGCAGGGUUUUUUUUAUUAUUAUUAUUUCAAAAAGUUUAAUUUAGAAGAUGAUAUCCUUAAGACAAAUGAUGCAGUGAUGUCUCCCCACCCUGACUUCCCAGUGCUAGCAGAGUUCAGCACUGAGCAGCCAACUACAAACACGUGGAGGGAAGGAUUUCAGUUUCCAAGGCUGCUCGCUUGAACUGUUUUCAAACAACACGAAAGCAGGGGCCUUCAGAGGUACAGACUUUGCGAGGUUUUUUGAGUUCUGGAUUCAGAACAGCUUCAGCCUUUUGUUAUCUAGUAUUUUGGAAAUGUAAUUAAGCCAGUGAGUCAUCUCUGCAGUAUUUUACAGAACGCAAUUAUUUUGUUAAAAGCAAUGACCUUUCAGUGCAAUACGAGGUACAGGUUAGCUGUACUCACAGUAAGAAAAAAAAAACACAACAGAAAACAGUGCACCCUAAUCACAGUGUUAAAGCUAAGAACUACAGAACUUCUGUGCUCCAACAGCUGCAGUGAACUUUUUUUUUAACAAACACUCCUUACGUACAUUCCUGAACUGUGAAAAGCAGAGGGAGAGGGAAGGAACAGGUAGCUUCAGGUGCUGCAGUAAGA